CAGAACGAACGCUGGCGGCGUGCCUAAUACAUGCAAGUCGAACGGUCUUUCUAUGGAAGCGUGCUCCACUGAAAAGAUAGUGGCGAACGGGUGAGUAACACGUGGGUAACCUGCCCAUAAGAGGGGGGAUAACAUCCGGAAACGGGUGCUAAUACCGCAUAGUUUUCUUGAUCGCAUGAUCGGGAAAGGAAAGACGGCCUUUGUGCUGUCGCUUAUGGAUGGACCCGCGGCGUAUUAGUUAGUUGGUGAGGUAACGGCUCACCAAGACGAUGAUACGUAGCCGACCUGAGAGGGUGAUCGGCCACAUUGGGACUGAGACACGGCCCAAACUCCUACGGGAGGCAGCAGUAGGGAAUCUUCCGCAAUGGACGAAAGUCUGACGGAGCAACGCCGCGUGAGUGAAAGAAGGUUUUCGGAUCGUAAAACUCUGUUGUCAGAGAAGAACAAGUUGGAGAGUAACUGCUCCAGCCUUGACGGUAUCUGACCAGAAAGCCACGGCUAACUACGUGCCAGCCGCGGC
rnacentral:rRNA from 1 species